rnacentral:rRNA from 1 species
GAGAGGAGCUUGCUCUUCUUGGAUGAGUUGCGAACGGGUGAGUAACGCGUAGGUAACCUGCCUUGUAGCGGGGGAUAACUAUUGGAAACGAUAGCUAAUACCGCAUAACAAUGGGUGACUCAUGUCAUUUAUUUGAAAGGGGCAAAUGCUCCACUACAAGAUGGACCUGCGUUGUAUUAGCUAGUAGGUGAGGUAACGGCUCACCUAGGCGACGAUACAUAGCCGACCUGAGAGGGUGAUCGGCCACACUGGGACUGAGACACGGCCCAGACUCCUACGGGAGGCAGCAGUAGGGAAUCUUCGGCAAUGGGGGCAACCCUGACCGAGCAACGCCGCGUGAGUGAAGAAGGUUUUCGGAUCGUAAAGCUCUGUUGUAAGUCAAGAACGAGUGUGAGAGUGGAAAGUUCACACUGUGACGGUAGCUUACCAGAAAGGGACGGCUAACUACGUGCCAGCAGCCGCGGUAAUACGUAGGUCCCGAGCGUUGUCCGGAUUUAUUGGGCGUAAAGCGAGCGCAGGCGGUUUGAUAAGUCUGAAGUUAAAGGCUGUGGCUCAACCAUAGUUCGCUUUGGAAACUGUCAAACUUGAGUGCAGAAGGGGAGAGUGGAAUUCCAUGUGUAGCGGUGAAAUGUGUAGAUAUAUGGAGGAACACCGGUGGCGAAAGCGGCUCUCUGGUCUGUAACUGACGCUGAGGCUCGAAAGC